UUUCCGUAGGUGAACCUGCGGAAGGAUCAUUACUGGGUUAUCAACUCCCUCCGGGGAGUACCACCCGCCCUCUGUCAUAUGCAACGGUAUUGCUUCGGCCGCUGGCCCUCCUCGCUGCGGCGCUCCUCGGGGCGUCCGGCGGGGCGGGGUCACGGUCGGUCUUCCAAUCCUCCAAGGAAUUUAUGUCGUCUGAUGCAAAUGCAAAAACGAAAAGCAAAACUUUCAACAACGGAUCUCUUGGUUCUGGCAUCGAUGAAGAACGCAGC
rnacentral:misc_RNA from 1 species